rnacentral:rRNA from 1 species
CCAAUAGCGUAUAUUAAAGUUGUUGCAGUUAAAAAGCUCGUAGUUGAAUUUCGGGAUCAAUAUGUCGGUCGUGCCUCGGUACGUACUGGCGUAAUUGGUUUCUCCCUUCUGAAGAACCUCGAUGUCAUUAAUUUGGUGUCGUGGGGAAUCAGGACUGUUACUUUGAAAAAAUUAGAGUGUUUAAAGCAGGCUCGCGCUUGAAUACAUUAGCAUGGAAUAAUGAAAUAGGACGUUUGAUUCUAUUUUGUUGGUUUCUAGGAUCGACGUAAUGAUUAAUAGGGAUAGUUGGGGGCAUUAGUAUUCAAUUGUCAGAGGUGAAAUUCUUGGAUUUAUUGAAGACUAACUACUGCGAAAGCAUUUGCCAAGGAUGUUUUCGUUAAUCAAGAACGAAAGUUAGGGGGUCGAAGACGAUCAGAUACCGUCGUAGUCUUAACCAUAAACUAUGCCGACUAGGGAUCGGAUGAUGUUAAUUUUUUAAUGACUCAUUCGGCGCCUUACG